rnacentral:lncRNA from 1 species
UUUCUAAGAAUCCAACAUAUUCAAGGAAGUAAUAUCUGAUUUACUGAUGAAAGUCAUUUGACUAGUUUCAAGGAAUUCUGAGUGGGAGCGUGAAACUCUGUCCACCUUUCCAGGAGCGCCACAAUGGCUUGCUAAGAAGGAACAAACGGUCUUGCUGAUGAGAUAUACAGUGCUUGAUACAUUUUCCACCAGUGGGAGCUACAUCGAAAGAUGAAGUGAGGCACUUGGGGAGGAGACUCCAAGCUUGACUCAACAUACAAGGGUCUAAAAAAGUGGAUAAACUGAAAGAUGGCCUUGUGUCUUAAAAAGGCUGAAGCUUAUGUGUAUGUGUGGAGGGAGCGAGAACUUUUCUUUACAGAAUUCCCUGCAAUCAAUUUCCAGACUUGGAAUAUGCUGUGGCACCUGCUCUGCUAGAGGGAGCAUCUACUGGCUCUCUUCCGCUUCGUUUUGGGAAAGUAAUGAACUGUUGGUUAUAAACAGUUGAAAACAAAUAUCAGAAGGUCAUUGUGCUGCUAAACUUUGAUAUAUUGAGAAAUGUGAACUUUAGCGGGACUUCUAAAGUACUGUCAUGCAGGAGGCGGUAGAGUAAGUGGCUUCAUCUAUCACUGGUGAAAACAUGGUACAGCAUCACUGCUUGAAGGUUGAGCAUGAAAAUACUCAACCCUGAUUAAACGACCAUAAUUCCUCAAGUCUGGGACAUGGUUGGCAGACAUAGGAAGCUGGGGCCUUAAAAU